GGUGGAUGCCUUGGCACUAGAAGCCGAUGAAGGACGUUACUAACGACGAUAUGCUUUGGGGAGCUGUAAGUAAGCUUUGAUCCAGAGAUUUCCGAAUGGGGAAACCCAGCAUGAGUUAUGUCAUGUUAUCGAUAUGUGAAUACAUAGCAUAUCAGAAGGCACACCCGGAGAACUGAAACAUCUUAGUACCCGGAGGAAGAGAAAGAAAAUUCGAUUCCCUUAGUAGCGGCGAGCGAAACGGGAAGAGCCCAAACCAACAAGCUUGCUUGUUGGGGUUGUAGGACACUCUAUACGGAGUUACAAAGGACGACAUUAGACGAAUCAUCUGGAAAGAUGAAUCAAAGAAGGUAAUAAUCCUGUAGUCGAAAAUGUUGUCUCUCUUGAGUGGAUCCUGAGUACGACGGAGCACGUGAAAUUCCGUCGGAAUCUGGGAGGACCAUCUCCUAAGGCUAAAUACUCUCUAGUGACCGAUAGUGAACCAGUACCGUGAGGGAAAGGUGAAAAGCACCCCGGAAGGGGAGUGAAAUAGAACCUGAAACCGUGUGCUUACAAGUAGUCAGAGCCCGUUAAUGGGUGAUGGCGUGCCUUUUGUAGAAUGAACCGGCGAGUUACGAUUUGAUGCAAGGUUAAGCAGUAAAUGUGGAGCCGUAGCGAAAGCGAGUCUGAAUAGGGCGUUUAGUAUUUGGUCGUAGACCCGAAACCAGGUGAUCUACCCUUGGUCAGGUUGAAGUUCAGGUAACACUGAAUGGAGGACCGAACCGACUUACGUUGAAAAGUGAGCGGAUGAACUGAGGGUAGCGGAGAAAUUCCAAUCGAACCUGGAGAUAGCUGGUUCUCUCCGAAAUAGCUUUAGGGCUAGCCUCAAGUGAUGAUUAUUGGAGGUAGAGCACUGUUUGGACGAGGGGCCCCUCUCGGGUUACCGAAUUCAGACAAACUCCGAAUGCCAAUUAAUUUAACUUGGGAGUCAGAACAUGGGUGAUAAGGUCCGUGUUCGAAAGGGAAACAGCCCAGACCACCAGCUAAGGUCCCAAAAUAUAUGUUAAGUGGAAAAGGAUGUGGCGUUGCCCAGACAACUAGGAUGUUGGCUUAGAAGCAGCCAUCAUUUAAAGAGUGCGUAAUAGCUCACUAGUCGAGUGACACUGCGCCGAAAAUGUACCGGGGCUAAACAUAUUACCGAAGCUGUGGAUUGUCCUUUGGACAAUGGUAGGAGAGCGUUCUAAGGGCGUUGAAGCAUGAUCGUAAGGACAUGUGGAGCGCUUAGAAGUGAGAAUGCCGGUGUGAGUAGCGAAAGACGGGUGAGAAUCCCGUCCACCGAUUGACUAAGGUUUCCAGAGGAAGGCUCGUCCGCUCUGGGUUAGUCGGGUCCUAAGCUGAGGCCGACAGGCGUAGGCGAUGGAUAACAGGUUGAUAUUCCUGUACCACCUAUAAUCGUUUUAAUCGAUGGGGGGACGCAGUAGGAUAGGCGAAGCGUGCGAUUGGAUUGCACGUCUAAGCAGUAAGGCUGAGUAUUAGGCAAAUCCGGUACUCNNNNNNNNNNNNNNNNNNNNNNNNNNNNNNNNNNNNNNNNNNNNNNNNNNNNNNNNNNNNNNNNNNNNNNNNNNNNNNNNNNNNNNNNNNNNNNNNNNNNAGCUGUGAUGGGGAGAAGACAUUGUGUCUUCGAGUCGUUGAUUUCACACUGCCGAGAAAAGCCUCUAGAUAGAAAAUAGGUGCCCGUACCGCAAACCGACACAGGUAGUCAAGAUGAGAAUUCUAAGGUGAGCGAGCGAACUCUCGUUAAGGAACUCGGCAAAAUGACCCCGUAACUUCGGGAGAAGGGGUGCUCUUUAGGGUUAACGCCCAGAAGAGCCGCAGUGAAUAGGCCCAAGCGACUGUUUAUCAAAAACACAGGUCUCUGCUAAACCGUAAGGUGAUGUAUAGGGGCUGACGCCUGCCCGGUGCUGGAAGGUUAAGAGGAGUGGUUAGCUUCUGCGAAGCUACGAAUCGAAGCCCCAGUAAACGGCGGCCGUAACUAUAACGGUCCUAAGGUAGCGAAAUUCCUUGUCGGGUAAGUUCCGACCCGCACGAAAGGCGUAACGAUUUGGGCACUGUCUCAACGAGAGACUCGGUGAAAUCAUAGUACCUGUGAAGAUGCAGGUUACCCGCGACAGGACGGAAAGACCCCGUGGAGCUUUACUGUAGCCUGAUAUUGAAAUUCGGCACAGCUUGUACAGGAUAGGUAGGAGCCUUUGAAACGUGAGCGCUAGCUUACGUGGAGGCGCUGGUGGGAUACUACCCUAGCUGUGUUGGCUUUCUAACCCGCACCACUUAUCGUGGUGGGAGACAGUGUCAGGCGGGCAGUUUGACUGGGGCGGUCGCCUCCUAAAAGGUAACGGAGGCGCUCAAAGGUUCCCUCAGAAUGGUUGGAAAUCAUUCAUAGAGUGUAAAGGCAUAAGGGAGCUUGACUGCGAGACCUACAAGUCGAGCAGGGUCGAAAGACGGACUUAGUGAUCCGGUGGUUCCGCAUGGAAGGGCCAUCGCUCAACGGAUAAAAGCUACCCCGGGGAUAACAGGCUUAUCUCCCCCAAGAGUUCACAUCGACGGGGAGGUUUGGCACCUCGAUGUCGGCUCAUCGCAUCCUGGGGCUGUAGUCGGUCCCAAGGGUUGGGCUGUUCGCCCAUUAAAGCGGUACGCGAGCUGGGUUCAGAACGUCGUGAGACAGUUCGGUCCCUAUCCGUCGUGGGCGUAGGAAAUUUGAGAGGAGCUGUCCUUAGUACGAGAGGACCGGGAUGGACAUACCUCUGGUGUACCAGUUGUCGUGCCAACGGCAUAGCUGGGUAGCUAUGUGUGGACGGGAUAAGUGCUGAAAGCAUCUAAGCAUGAAGCCCCCCUCAAGAUGAGAUUUCCCAACUUCGGUUAUAAGAUCCCUCAAAGAUGAUGAGGUUAAUAGGUUCGAGGUGGAAGCAUGGUGACAUGUGGAGCUGACGAAUACUAAUCGAUCGAAGACUUAAUCAA
rnacentral:rRNA from 1 species